UACGAAGGGGGCUAGCGUUGCUCGGAAUCACUGGGCGUAAAGCGCACGUAGGCGGAUUGUUAAGUCAGGGGUGAAAUCCUGGAGCUCAACUCCAGAACUGCCUUUGAUACUGGCGAUCUUGAGUCCGGGAGAGGUGAGUGGAACUGCGAGUGUAGAGGUGAAAUUCGUAGAUAUUCGCAAGAACCCCAGUGGCGAAGGCGGCUCACUGGCCCGGUACUGACGCUGAGGUGCGAAAGCGUGGGGAGCAAACAGG
rnacentral:rRNA from 1 species